ensembl:lncRNA
CUGCGCCCCAGCGGCCUGCCCCGCGAGAGCCUCAUCGCACAGCCACAGGCUCCAGGUCCAGGGGCAGAGAGCCCUUCUCUUGGGAACGCAGUACACAGAGAACUGCACUGCCCCUUACCUCUACCCAAAAUACACAAAACACAUGCACUAUCGACCUAAAGACACUCCAAACAUUAGAAAAAGGACAACCUGCUUUUGGUUCAGAGGAGCGAGGUUCAGAGGAGAGUUUCGGAUGAGUGAAAAAGAGUCAGUGAAACAAGUGAUUUUAAAACAACUGUCCUAAAAUGGAUAUUUGUAAGCCACGGAACCUCAGGCAACCUCCACGGGCACCAGAGCACACACAGGAAGAACUGUCUUCUGAGCCGGCCGGAACCCAGCCGGGGUUAAACACUGCAGCCUGGCGCGGUGGGGCCAGGCGUGCGCCCCAGAAGCCGGCCUCCCCUCCUGUCAAGGGUCUAACACCACAUUACCGCAUCAGCAACCGUCAGCGCCAAAAACGCCUCUCCAACAGCUGCCCAUGAGGAUGCUCCAGCUGGGCUGUCCCACGUCCACGGACCGACAAGUCUUAGCGAUGCCGUGUGCAGAGAGCCCGCGCUCCCAGGGGCUUUCUGAUGCCACUCCAGUCACCCGAGCAGCUCAGUGGCCCGUGCCAGGCUGCGUCUGGAACGGUGUGUCUGCACGUCCGCUGCGUGCACCCACUUGCCCAUCCAAGUGGGAGUGACCACGCGCGUCCCCUUCAGCCCAGAGGGGGCCGCUGGUCAGGAGCGGGCGCAGUCAGCACUUAGAACGUGGAACACCUUUCGGGCGACUAUUUUUCUAACUGAAGAGGAUGGUUUUCAACCCAAAGCCAGAAACUUCAUUCUGACGUACAUCUAAACAAGCCAUCUCAUGCUGCCCAGGGCUCCAGUCAGCCUCAACCUCCACGUGUAGCCAGGAUGCUCCCUGGAAAACCCGACAGGCCCGAGACACACGCGUCUCCCGCAGCUGCCCUCCCGUGUCUCCAGCUCAGACGACCCACCAUGGCAUUCACGCAGACAUCGCCCCCCAGGCCUCACCUCUCCCUCCACGGCCGCUCGCUGACCCCAGCCUGCUGGCCUCAACCGAGUCUUCCUGCAGAUGCUCUGGCCCCCCGCUUCUCAUCAGGACUCCUGCCUCAGUCCCUCAAAUGCAGCCCCCCAGGCAGGUGGAGGGACCCACUGGCUCAGAGUCCCUCCCAAGCUCCCCAUUCCCUUGGCCACCUGUCGCCAUUCCAGGCCUCCACCUCUGGCUUCUGACAGCACCCCCCCCCCCUCGCAAUCUGCACUGGCUUCGCACCCUUCUCCCGUCACCCCUGCCCUCCCCUCUCCAGCCCUCGCUUCACCAGAAAGCCCCGUUCCUGCCCUCCUUGUAAUGGGUGGGCGCCCUCUCCUGAGCACCAAGGACUGCACCCAAGACCGGGUCCUGGUCUUUCUGUUGGAGCCCUGCCUCCCUCACUGGGCAGAGAGCAGGGGGCACUCUGACCUACACCCGCUCCCCCAACUCCUGGCAGGUGACAGGGGCCGCACAAACAGGUGUGUCAGCACUGCACUGAAGGGAGGGAGCCUAGGGGACACCUUCUACCCCACACCUCUGUGCCACCCCUUGCCCAGGACCCCCAGACAUCAGGCAGGGUGCCCCACUGGACCCUGGACCCGGGCUCUGCCACCGCAGGCCAGCGAGAACCCUCGGGACUUGGUUUCCUCAUCUAAGAUGGGGGCGGGGGUGUGUGUGUGUGUGGACUGUGUGCCAACCUAGGUUCACUUCUACCUGCUCUGAAACCCUAUGACUUUAAGGUGACACUUUCAGUUUCCUGAAACUGUAAGAAAGAGGAAACACGACGAGCCCGUGACUUAUAAAAAGCAAAAGUAAAUAGCGGAGCG